UACGGAGGGGGCUAGCGUUGUUCGGAAUUACUGGGCGUAAAGCGCGUGUAGGCGGGCCGGCACGUCGGUCGCUGAAAUCCCCCGGCUCAACCGGGGAAGGGGCACCGAUACGACCGGCCUGGAGGGGGGUAGGGGGCGCUGGAACUCACGGUGGAGCGGUGAAAUGCGUUGAGAUCGUGAGGAACGCCCGCGGCGAAAGCGAGCGCCUGGACCCUUUCUGACGCUGAGACGCGAAAGCCAGGGGAGCGAACGGG
rnacentral:rRNA from 1 species